GGGCACAUAGCGUAGGGGUUAUCGCGUUCGCUUUGCAUGCGAAAGGUCUCCGGUUCAAAUCCGGAUGUGUCCA
rnacentral:tRNA from 1 species